UCGGGAUAAUGAGGAGGACUCUGCUGCUGCUGGCCUCUCUGGCCUUUGCUUCUCUCACUUGUGUAGCUGAUGGAGCUCCAUUGCAAGUGAUGUCUGCCCCAAACUUGUUGCGGGUGGGAACUGCAGAAAACAUCUUUGUGGAGUGUCAAGACUGCACUGUAGGAGACGUUAGGGUUGAAAUCAAUGUGAUGAACCAUCCAACCAAAACUAAAAGGCUGGCAACAACAUCUGUGACCCUCAACGAUGCA